rnacentral:rRNA from 1 species
AGAUUGAACGCUGGCGGCAUGCCUUACACAUGCAAGUCGAACGGCAGCACGGGGGCAACCCUGGUGGCGAGUGGCGAACGGGUGAGUAAUGCAUCGGAACGUGCCCAGUAGUGGGGGAUAACUAGUCGAAAGAUUAGCUAAUACCGCAUACGACCUAUGGGUGAAAGCGGGGGAUUCGCAAGAACCUCGCGCUAUCGGAGCGGCCGAUGUCUGAUUAGCUAGUUGGCGGGGUAAAAGCCCACCAAGGCUUCGAUCAGUAGCUGGUCUGAGAGGACGACCAGCCACACUGGGACUGAGACACGGCCCAGACUCCUACGGGAGGCAGCAGUGGGGAAUUUUGGACAAUGGGCGCAAGCCUGAUCCAGCCAUGCCGCGUGCGGGAAGAAGGCCUCGGUUGUAACCGCUUUGCAGGAACGAAACGGCGCGAGCAAAUAUCUCGCGUUAAUGACGGUACCUGCAGAAUAAGCACCGCUAACUACGUGCCAGCACG